UUACACACUGAUUAUUUCGUAUGUAAUUGGAGUCUAUUGUCAAAGAUGUCUGGAACCGGAGAAUGUAUUUACAUGUCCAAGAAGUUCUAACGCAUGGCUUAUUGAAUCUCGUCAAAAGUUAAAAACAGUGACCACUACCAUUGUUUGGAAACAGACAUUCAGACUCUGAUUGAAUGUUGUAUGUGGCCGUUAAAUAUAUCUAAAGGACACAGACCUAGAUAUAACUUACGUAAAAAUGUAAUACAAGAGAUUCCGUGUGAAGAUGAAUAUUUCAUUCCAUAUGAUUAUACAUCUAACAGCUACCACGACAAUGGACCAAGUCAUUGUAAAAUCCAAAAAGGUAGCUGCACGGGAGAUGGAAUGAAAAUGUGUAGCACCGGAAGUACAACAAGGGACAUAACUUGUUACUGUGAUCAUACUCAAAAUUAUGUACCACGAAUGCUCUCCACUAGUCCUUGUUUCCUCCAGUUUGAAAACGAGUGUAUAGUUACAUCUAGCUGUAAUGUUAUAAUUGAGUAUAGAUUCAAAUUGAUGUACAGUACAGAAAGUCAGUGCACGACGACGAAUUCAUAUGCAACUAUAUCAGAUUUUCUUCUAACUACGGACAACGCUUCCAACAUAAUCAGCAAUAGUGUUUCGGAUAAUAGUCAAGUAAAACGUGAUUCCAAAUUGUCUAAUGAGCGAUUGCUAUUGAUAAUAUACAUACUUUCUGCGAUACUUGCUGUACUCCUUUCAUGUAUAACUGUGUACUUUGUUAGGAAUACCCUUGCAAAGAAAGAUCAAACUACAAAUGUCCUGAAGUCUCAUAGAAUUCGGCAUAUUGGUGAGAACCAAGAAAGCCAAUACGUAGAUAUGCAUGCAAAUCUAGAAAGGAACAAUGAAGGUAUCCCUGUUACGUCUAUCGGUGCGCAAAACAUCUCAGCCGGGAUAAUGUUUGAAAUGCAAUCCCAUAUGACAAAUGAAUUAUCUGUUACUUCAACGUCGUUUCGUAGGAACCUUAAUGAAAAUAGCAAUUCAUCUAGCUAACAUACAAACGGACCAGGAUAUUUGAAUCCAUAUCAACCUUUAAGGAUUGAUUCAAGCCAAAGUGAACAUCCGUAUACAGAUUGAAAUGCAGAUGCUACAACACUUAACACAUACAUUGCAGAAUAUCAGAGAAUAACAGCCCUUCGAUGUCUAAAGACAUUUAAGAUCAUGACGUGAGUCGUUCUGGUAC